rnacentral:tRNA from 5 species
AGUAGCUCAGGGGUAGAGCGAUCGGCUGUUAACCGAUUUGUCGUAGGUUCAAAUCCUACCU